UGGGGAAUUUUCCGCAAUGGGCGAAAGCCUGACGGAGCAAUGCCGCGUGGAGGUGGAAGGCCUACGGGUCGUCAACUUCUUUUCUCGGAGAAGAAACAAUGACGGUAUCCGAGGAAUAAGCAUCGGCUAACUCUGUGCCAGCAG
rnacentral:rRNA from 1 species